GGUUGGCACCCAUCUGACCGCCAACGCAUGUUCUUCAUAUAAGCAACGAAGCCAGGAAAGUACGGUGACGUGGGGAAAAGGCAGACUCAAAUACUACCUCCAAAGGCGGAACAUUGCCAGGUCAACUCGGUCCUUCCGUUCCAUGUGAUGCCAUCCAUCCAGAAGAGACACACAGAAAAAAGGAUUACUUGAAUGUCUUUAGGUGCUGAACAACCAACAACAUGAACAAUUGAUAGGGUCAGCGUGCCCACUCAGCAGGGAUGAGCAGGAGAGGAGGUGGGAAGAGGAGCGAGGACAAAGGAGGAUGAGCACGAUAAUAUCAGAUUGGCAGUACUGUAUAUGACGAUUAUGAUAGUAUCACGAUGCAGCUAGUAGCUUAUAAUCGACAGACUGUCCUCGUGUCUCUCUGUCCAAGUAUAUUUGCGACCAUUUGCGUGUACGUGACUCACUUUCUUCACAUACUAGCGUACUUGUGUCCUAGUUGACGUGUCCUAGUUUACCUGUAUUCCAGAGUGUACAGUAUGUAGCCUGGCGUAUUUGUGUUCUUGUCUCGGUUGUUGGCACAAGGAUUGACCCUUGUCUUGCGUACCAAUUAACAGUUAAAAACACAACAUAACAAAGCAUUGUUUUAUUUGUAGUAUUUCGAAAUGCAGCUUUAAAAAGAAGACUUGCACAGAGCCCAAAAUAAGCGUUAAAGUCUGCUUGUUUCAAGCUGUUUAGUUUUUACUCCCUGUUGAAGUUAACUGUAAACCGCACACAUAAAACAAGAGUAUCGAACAUUGUGUAUUGAAACACCAAAA